CAGGCCGCCUAUACGAUGCAGCAAUCUAGCCGCGUUGAUUAGAGUCGUAUGUAGAAUCGAGAACCGGAUUCCAAGAACCUGUUUCCAUGUUCACGUAAGAUCCCCGGAGUAAUCGACUGACGGAUCGGCGACCGUUCGAGUCACCGACCCCGACCGACCGGGACGCCGCCGCCGCCGCCGCCGCUCGCUCCAUCCCUCCGCGAGGCCCACCGGCCUCGGUGAUCGUCGACAGAGUCGUCGUCCCGACGACGGCCUGGGCCUCCUCCUCUUCCUCCUUUGUGCGCGCAUUCCUGCGGGACGCCCGUUCCUUCCCAUGUGCGCCGAGUCUACGCACGUUACGCGUUUCCAUCCUCGACUCGAGAGAUUUCAGAGUGUAGAGGUUUUACGAGAGUAAACGCUUCAGUAUAUAUGGUUGGGAGGAGGGUAAGAGGUUGGCGCGUGGAAGCGUUUGGGGAUCGUUUUAUAUAUAGAGGGAGGGAUUGAUGGAAGGGUGAUGGGGUUAGAAGUGUUUGUUCGCGUUUUCUUGGUUAAGAAGUUGGAGUAUCGUGUUUCUGCAAUCUUUGAAAUUUUCGUAUUGUGAAUGAUAAAAAAAGAGUGAAGUUAUAAAGAAAAAAUCAUCGAAACUGAUGAAUCGAACUGAAAAGAGUUGUGAAAGAAGAAGGGAAAAGAAAAGAUGGCGCCGAUUUAAAAAAAAGAAAGAAAGAAAGAAAGAAACGCGUUCGAUCGCGUUAAUGAAAACGCUGCUCCCUCGUAUAUCUAAAAACAAAAAUGGAGAGUCGUUGGAGAGGGCGCUCCAGUUCACUGGUCAAUUUAACAAACGUCCCCACUUAAAUGGGGAAAUCGGAAUCUACCCGUCCCCAUCGAGGAACGUUGUCUCUUUUUGUCUCGUUUCAUUACACGCGGGUUCGAAACGAGUGGUCUCCUGCAACAGGCCGCUACCAACUAAUAGAUUUUCAUUAUUUUAAGCCGUAAUAUAAUCCGCAAUUACCGCCAGAGUCACGGCAGGUAUACACGUAUCUGCGACUACGUGCAAAUAUGUGGUGGCGAGCCGCUGCAGGCCGCUUUUCAAAAGGCGACACACACACGUCUCCCCUUGCAACCGGGCCUCCUCUAUUAAUAGUCCUUCGUUAAACGUAUAAUGCUUGAAUUAACGGCCAUUUCUGUCCCAAGUCCUGGCUUUAUCAUCCGCGAUUUAUGCAAUGCUUCCCGCGGCUGCCUCAACAAGUUGGCUGUAUCGGAGUAUCCUUGGUGAUUAUGGUGUCUUUGAUUGGGUUUAUUUUUUCUCUCUCUCUCUCUCUUCUCUUUUUAUUUAUCCAUUUUUUUUUUAUUUUUAUGAUAACUGAAGAGUUGUUUUACGUGUUUCAGUAAUCGCGUCCGAGGUGUAAAUUAGUGGCGAAUACUGGUGUUUGUGUUAUGUUAUGUGUAGCUUGGUUGUGAUGAAUUGACAGGAAACGGAUUAAUUGGAUUCUUUGAUAUCUGGGGUUGAUUGGAGCUUUUUUUUAUGAUCUGUGUGAUCCACGUUUUCAUUUGUUUGUUGGUUCUUCUUUUAAAUUAACGCUUCGAAGACGUGGAGGGUGAUUCACACGUUUGAAAGAACACUUUAUUCAAUUUAGGAAACUAUUAAUGUUUAUUGGAACGAUGAAGGAUACUCUUGCAUAGGUAUUUGAAUAUAUUUUAUUCUUUGAUUCAGUUGCAUAGUGUGUGUGUUGAAAUGAAGAGACACAACACAAUUGCAAAUUGUAUUAUUGGAAAUACAAAAUUUAAAUUUGAGAUAUUUUAGAGAAACAUUUAAUACAUCAUGUAUAAUUUGUAUGUGCAAAGCUGAUGACUUUGCAACAGCUUAUAACUUUUUAGGCGAGGUUACAUAACUUUUACAACUCAUUCUAACAUCAUAAGCACUUGUGCAAUUAUUAUUAAGGUGGUAUUCAACGUUUGCAACUGCAAAAAAGAUGUUAUUAGUUAAUAAUAACUUGUACAAAUUUUUUGUGCAAGAAUUCCCCGCUUAUAUAAUCGGAUUCCUAACAAUACAACCCUUUAACAUUUCCUCAAUUAACGAGUGAUCAGGUAGAAAUUAUUUUGCUGAUUUAUUCACAAAAGAAAGAAAGAAAAAAGUACCGAUCAUCGCCAAUUCAUCUUUCAAACGUGUAAAAUCCAUUCCAUUACCAGCAAUUACAUCAUCGUAAAAACAUCUGGUUCACCAGGUCAAAGCCUCCACAACCUUCUCACCUCGGGACCCCUUUCCAUUCAACCGUUCCAUCAAACCAUACGUGUACUUCAUUUCAAAAAGUUCUUCUCUUGCUAUAAGGUAUAGAAAAUUCUUCUUUAUUUUUCUCUCCUACUUCCAUAGGCGAACAAGUGAAACUUUCGUUUCUUUUAUUUCAUUUCUUUCAAUCUUUAUUCCAUUUAUUUCUUUCUCUUGAUUUUCUCUCGCUGUAUAUAAAGCUUGAAUAUUAAAAAUCUAGAAUAUUUUGAAUAUCUUUCUCUCUUUUGACAUCAUUGUACUAUCUCCACAUUUUUAAUCCAAAUAUUUCUUCAAAAUCUCUUCUCAUUUCUUUUCACGCUGAACGAGCUCUUAAAUUCUUCUACACAAUCAAAACACGGAAACAAGUUGGUAACAAAUUGAUAUUAUUAUCCCUAUGUGCAUCCUGUUUCUCGAUAAGCCAAGACAACAUCCAGGACAUAGAAAAUAGAUUAAAAUUCAUAUCGAUGCAACCUCGAUUCGAAAUCUGAAAGAUCGAUAGGAUCCAUCCCGUCGAUUCUCGGCCGUUGACGCCGCUAUUCCAGUGUUUCUGCGUUUCGUGCUUAAGAUCUUGAGAUCUUCGCGCGAUUAUCUCGCGGCGAGAUCUGCUUCUGGAACGAAGAACACCACGAUAAUACCGCGUCCCUGUCUAUCUACGAUUCCAAAGAAGAAGAAGAAGAAGAAAAAAACGCUCCAGCUAACCACUCUGGAAUCCUAUUAAUAGAGCCACUCGCCAAGCGUUUAUUUACACCCGUGGUUCCCGCCUAGAUCCAGUCUAUUAAAUAGCGAUGGUCGUCCAAUAUUAUCUGAACAUAAACCGCUUAUCCCGUGGGAGGGUGUUUUUAAAAUUAAUUAAAUUAAUUUUUUUUACCCGCGUCCGCGUAAACACGUCGAGAAUCGAUCUCUCGGUCGGCUUCCUGGCUGGGAAGACAGGCCGGUGUUACACUCUUUGCUAAUGCGCGGUGCAAAAACAGCGGCUCGAGAUAACGCGGUGUGUUAGUAAAUCUAGGCGAGUUUUAUCCGGGGAGAAGAGGGGAGGGAGGGGAAAAAAAGUGAAAAGAACGAAAUUCCACGCGAUAUUUGUCUGGUCGAGGCCUGAUAACGUCGAGUAACCGAGCCGUUAGAUCGGUGUGUCGUUUCAAGGAUCUGUUUUGCACGGCCGUUUUGCACGUACUUUGCACGGCCUUCUAGGUGCGGGUACAGUAACGGGAUCGUUGAAAUGGUAUGUGCGGGGGAGAGAAAUGUGAACAGUUGUGAAUAAAUUGAGCAGUUGGGAAUGUUGGUUGGUUGGUCGGUCGGUCGGUGUAGGAAAAUCACUUCAUUAUCGCGGUGGUGAGAACGGUUGGUCUCGCCAAGUUUUAUUUUAGAUAUUAAUAAUCGUGUCAAGUGAUACUCGUCCCGACCUUCGUCUAAUUUUAUUAAUCGUAUCUUAUAAUGAAUUUUUUUUUCUUUCUUUCUUUUAAUUUGUCUUGUUUGAAGAAAAAUUCUCACUUCGUAUUAAAGAAAAAAUUGUGGGAUAAGUUAUCAAAAGGAAAAGUUAAAUCUCUUGCUAUACAAAAGUGAAUAUAUAAUACGAGGAGGAGUUUUCCCUUCAUAUGAUUCCACUUUUUAAUCAACGGAAAACAUUCGACUUGUUAAGAGAAGCGUUUUAUUCCCCUCACAAAGCAUUCUUUAAUCGGGACUCUCGCAAAAUCAAUUCAUCGUGUAAAAAGACCACUCGAUUCAGCCGUAUGCACUUCACUAAAUACUGGAGAGGAAAAAGUUGAAAGACAAGGAAAGUGUUAUGUCCGUAACACUCUGAACGGAUCCGAUUUCCCGACAGUCUUCCAUUCGUUCGUAUCGAUCGAACAAAUUCUGGAAUCGAUAAAAGCAUUUUAAAAAAGGACAUUUUCCCUUUCAUAAAACGAUAAAAACUUUCCAUUGAAAUCGCGUUACACGGAGAGACGUCUCCUUCACUUCGUUCACUUUUCCAUCCAAUUUUCGAGACAAAAGGCAAUCCUUGAACGAAUCAUGCGUACACAAUCAAUUGAAGAUCCCCUCGUGCGGGAGGCAAACACAAUUUUACCAUCCGUAUAAUACAUUCUCCACGUUCAAUUGACGAUUUCCACGUGACUCGUCCGCCAUCGAAGAACCGAUCUCGCGACGGUCGGAACAAUAACACGCUUUUAACGCGUGUCGUUGCGCCACUGAACGUCACCGUCCAACCUCGAGAUCUUAUUAUGACGGUAUUCCAUCGCUCGAUGAAUAAACUCGUUGUCCCCUUCCUUUUCUUCUUCGCAAAGAAGCGAGAGUGACGGAAAACGGCGAAAAGAAGGAGAAGAAGAAGAAGAAGAAGGGACAAAAAGACGAGAAAAGUAAUGAAAGAAAGAGGACGAGUGCAGGAGGUGGAGAAGAAAGGUGGAGAUAGGUGGAAAAAAAAAGAAAGGUGGCCCUGUGAGACUGGUCGCCGGAAGAGAGAAGCUCCGACGGACCUCAGUCUUCGGUACUUAUCUUCCCCUCGCAAUCGGUGCAAUAUAUUCAGGGUGCAAAGCGUCGUUGUCGUUCGGUGAAUGGACGUUUUCACUUAAAGUCGCGUUCACUCGGCUCGGACAAAGGGAUCAUUACCCGAGCACCGGGUUCAGGAGAAAGCGAGGCACGCCGUGGCGGACACUUAAAUACGCGGAAUUCACGCCCCGAUCACGUGAAUACGGAAGCGCCGCGCCACGUUGACAAAGCGCACCCCGUGCCCCCCCAAUUAAGGUAGCCCAAUUCCGAGAUAUAGCCUCUACCAUCCCCUCCCCCGCUUUUUUCCGCGAUCACAGAAACGCACGACGUUCAACGUUUCAGCCCGGGACGCGGAGAAAAAGCGCGCCGCUUUGUCAUUGCACCGCCUUAAUUAAGACGCGCGCGCUCGCCGAACUUCUUCGUGGUAACUUCUUCUUGUUUCUUAUUAUGCCGUUCUUCCCGGGCAGUCUUCCUCUCUCUCUCUCCUCCGACGAAACGUAGAAAAUGAAGAUACGAUCUCUACCGAAGAGGCUACCGGCUCGAUUGGUGAGGUUAGAUUUAUCGGCGUGCCGAGCCGGCUCGAUAGAUGGCGUUGGGGAUCACCGUGAUACCUGCUAUUCUUACGAUAAAUUGUCGAGGUUAGUUUUCAUUAGUCACGGGAUAAUGGAUACGUUAAAAGAUGUUCCGAAUAUUUGACGAUGAAUUAAAUAUCUAAUGGUAUUGAGGCGUAAUAGUGGAAUCAUGGGAAAUUGCAAUGAUGGAUAGGGAGAAAUAGUUGGAAAAGUGCAUCUUGAGCAAUCGGAGAUUAAAUAAACUAAUCAGUGAGGAGAAGUGAUAUUGGAAGAAUUUUUAAAAAAUUUAAAUUUGAAUACCAAACAUUCAUAAUACAUUAUUGCCAAUCAACGAAUUUCAAUAAUCGUGUUUUCAAAUAGAAUUCCACGAUGUAUCAACGUGAAGAAUACUCUUGGAUACCAGAAGAAAUUAUUCACGUAGACGAAGAGAUCUCUUUCAUUCUCUGACACACGUGUUCAGGUAUAUACACAAAACAGGUAUCCAACAAACAAACAAGAGUUGAAGUGCGAUAAUGACGUUUGCAAGAUCCUUUGCAAUUUUCUUUUGAUGUCAAACUUCUUAUUACACAUCACAAUGCUAUCUUGGAACGGUAUAAGUUUGAAUCUUUUCGCGACUCUCAAUUUAUCUUCUCCAUUGCAACAGAGCUGCUACUCGUUCUUGUUUCGACGAGGAUGUGUCGCAACCGACAGUUUAACUCGAGAGAGUAUUGUGAAACGUAAUUUCUGCGUAUAAGAGGAACGCGAGUAUAUUGUGUGUAUUAUGCGAACAUGUUUUUGAAACGUGUCGUGUGAUUACAAAUGACUAAUUGUAUUCGGCUAUACUAGUUGAUAGCUGUCUCUUUGAUAUUCUUUGUUGACAGAUUCAGACACACGUAUGUUUCAACAUCUAUAGAAAAUAACACUGGACGUUGAUUGGAUGUUUUAGAAAGGCGACAAAUUCGUGGUAUAUUCUCUUCAACAGAUUGAAUUGAAGAAAAAAUUGUAGGUGAGAAGAGGAUUUUCACAAAAAAAUUUCAAUUAUUAAAUCUUGCAAGUAUAAACAUGAAAUAAUAAAUUAUUAUAAUGCUGAAAAGGGGCUAUAGAGAGACAACUAUAAGAAAAGUAUUUCCUUCUUUUGUUUAGUGAUAUUUAUAGAUGAGAUAUAUCUGGCUAAAUAUUGCCUAAAUAUUGUCUAUUUUUGUAUUGAAUCUAUAUAUCAGAAAUAAUAAAUCAAAUUUAAAUUCUUUCAAAGAAAAUUAUAGCUUUAUAUAUUGAAAAUAAAGCACUCAAAUAUUCAUGCACAUUUUUUAUUAAAAAUGCUUUAUGAGGUAAGAAAUUGUUA